GACGAACGCUGGCGGCGUGCUUAACACAUGCAAGUCGAACGGAAAGGCCCUGCUUUUGUGUGGUUUUCGCGUGGCGAACGUGUGAGUAACCCGUGAGUAUCCUUCCCUUUACUUUGUGAUAUCUUCAGGAAACUGGUGCUAAUACCUGCUAGGAGCUCCUGCUGCUUGGUGGGGUUUGGAACGUUUCGGCUGUUGUGGGUGGACUCGCGGCUUAUCAGAUUGUUGGUUGGGUAGUCGCUUACCAAGGCAUUGACGGGUAGCCGGCAAGAGAGGGUGGACGGGCACAUGGGGACUGAGAGAGGGCGCAGAGUCGUACGGGGGGCAGCAGUGGAAAAUAUUGCACAAUGAGCGGAAGCGUGAGGAAGAGGGGCUGGGUGCGGGAUGAAGGCCUUGGGGGUGGAAAGCGCUUUAGGCUGAGACGAAGCGUGAGUGACGGUAAUGGGUAAAGAAGCACCGGCUAACUACGUG
rnacentral:rRNA from 1 species